GGUGAACGCUGGCGGUAGGCCUAACACAUGCAAGUCGAACGGCAGCACAGUAAGAGCUUGCUCUUACGGGUGGCGAGUGGCGGACGGGUGAGGAAUACAUCGGAAUCUACUUUUUCGUGGGGGAUAACGUAGGGAAACUUACGCUAAUACCGCAUACGACCUACGGGUGAAAGCAGGGGAUCUUCGGACCUUGCGCGAUUGAAUGAGCCGAUGUCGGAUUAGCUAGUUGGCGGGGUAAAGGCCCACCAAGGCGACGAUCCGUAGCUGGUCUGAGAGGAUGAUCGGCCACACUGGAACUGAGACACGGUCCAGACUCCUACGGGAGGCAGCAGUGGGGAAUAUUGGACAAUGGGCGCAAGCCUGAUCCAGCCAUACCGCGUGGGUGAAGAAGGCCUUCGGGUUGUAAAGCCCUUUUGUUGGGAAAGAAAAGCAGCAGGUUAAAACCCCGCUGUUCUGACGGUACCCAAAGAAUAAGCACCGGCUAACUUCGUG
rnacentral:rRNA from 1 species